AAAAUGGUUCCCUUUAGAGUGU
rnacentral:miRNA from 6 species